AUGGCCAUGGCAAUGGCCGCUUCCUUCGCCGCCCGCCACCACCACGGGCACCUCGCCGCCGGCCUCCCCUCCACCCCUCAAUCGGGCGGAAGGACUAGCCGCAGCGCUGCCACCAUCUCCAUGAAGGCUCAGAAAAAGCAGAGCAGUGAGCCUGGAAGUGGGAAGGGGGGCGGGGACGGGCGAGUAAGCGGUGGGCGGCGAGUGUGGCGUCGCCGGAAACUGACCAAAGAGGAUGACAUGUUGCGUUACAAGUUGGAUCGUAUCCCUUUCUUAGAAGAGAAAGUGAGAAAAGUAAGGGAAAAUGGGAAGCUUGUGUGCUUGGAUAUCAACCAGCUCAUGUUAUCUCAAGAGAACAGAUUCGCAUUCACAAUGGAGGUGGCAGAAGAAGCUAACGCCUAUCUUGAGAAGCACAGGCAUGAGUAUGGAUUGAAAAAACCUAUAUUGCAUGUGCUCAGUGACCGUAUGAAUGAAGCUGGAUUUUCUCGGCCAGAGGGUUACCUUUAUCCUUAUCCUAUCAAGCCUGGGCCUUAUUUCAUAAAAGAAGAAGGGAAUUGA
rnacentral:rRNA from 1 species